AGGAGGAACAGCCCCAGUGGCGGGGCAGCUCUGGAAACCUGGGUUCAGCUCCGGCAGCAACUCCGUCUGCAGGGCCUGGAGGCUCCGGGGCGGG
rnacentral:pre_miRNA from 1 species